UGCCUCUUCUUCGCAGUGAUUUGCUGCCUCCAUCUGGUAGCUGCCUCUUUUAUCUUCAUUUCAGGUAAGUCGAUUUUAGCUUCGUUAAUCACGUCACUUCUUUUGCUAUAUUCCAUGCUUAACGUAGUUGAUCUAUUUGAUGAAUUUGUUGCCAUAUUCCAUCUGGUAGCUGCUUCUGAUUCUUCAUAUUAGAUUUUCUUUUUAGGUGAAUUUGUUAUGUUGUAUAGAUCUAUUUAGUGUGAAUUAUGAUCUUCACUUAGUAGAUUCGAUAUUUUCUAUCGUUAGUUGGUGAAUUGUAUAAUUUUAAGUGCUUCGGUCUUGAUUAAUUGACGG
rnacentral:misc_RNA from 1 species